CCUACGGGAGGCAGCAGUGAGGAAUAUUGGUCAAUGGGCGCGAGCCUGAACCAGCCAAGUAGCGUGAAGGAUGACUGCCCUACGGGUUGUAAACUUCUUUUAUAAAGGAAUAAAGUGAGUCCAGUGUGCCUGUUUGUAUGUACUUUAUGAAUAAGGAUCGGCUAACACCGUGCCAGCAGCCGCGGUAAGACGGAGGAUCCGAGCGUUAUCCGGAUUUGUUGGGUGUAAAGGGAGCGUAGAUGGGUUGUUAAGUCAGUUGUGAAAGUUGGGGGCUCAACCGUAAAAUUGCAGUUGAAACUGGCAGUCGUGAGUACAGUAGAGGUGGGCGGAAUUCGUGGUGUAGCGGUGAAAUGCGUAGAUAUCACGAAGAACUCCGAUUGCGAAGGCAGCUCACUGGACUGCAACUGACACUGAUGUUCGAAAGUGUGGGUAUCAAACAGGAUUAGAUACCCUAGUAGUC
rnacentral:rRNA from 1 species